GAAUUGUUAGUCUCCAGAAUGCGACGUGUGGUAUGGAGUGUGAGAGAAGUAGGAGACAUCAGGAAUGAUGCUGUUGAAGGAGAAGGAUGGCAGGAAGACUGGGGACCAAGGCAGUCAAUCAAAACUUCUCCAUGUGCUGAUAGAUAGCCUGGUUCAUUAGCACAGUGAGCAAGCAAUGCUCCUCCAUCCAACUGGGAACCCUGUGUUUAAGCACCAGCUGGACAGCAGCUGCUCCUACAGGCUUCUUGGACUGUCUUCCCCAAUACUAAGUGUCAGAGCAGUCUGGACAGGAAUGAAGUUGAGAGUGUGGCAGGGAAUAUGGCAAGAAGUUAUACAAAUGGCAGACCAACUACACAGAAAAAGGGUAUAUUCAAAAAAGGAUGCUGGAUAUGGCGCUGCAACCCGGGCCAGCCACCCCUCGCCGGGGUCGCUGGGCUCUGACCCUGGGGCCCCGCAUGCGUGCCGGGACCCUUCAAGCUGCCCCUCCGCCUUCCCCGUCUCAUGGACGCUGUCUUCUCUAGCAGUUGUUGCGUGGGCGGAUGCCGCCGAAGCAGAUACAUUUGCACAGUGUUCAUACAUAGCACCCCACCCAAUCUUGUCCUGCAAUCCACUGAGAAUGCAUGAACUUGGGAAACUCCUAUCAUUCUCCCAACUGCAAGGGGCUGACAAUUUCCCAGGCCACUGCACUAUCCAAGACCAGAAGGGCUGCUAUUCCAUCUAUGGAUUUUUAUCAGCCAAAGGUGUUCACACUGUACAUUAGCUAUUUCUGUUCCAUUGUAGUUGAUUUUAAGUUUACAUUGUCUUGUCAUGCAUCAGAUCUAUAAAGAUUUCAUCAUUUAUAGCUAUUAAAAAUCACAAUGAUACAAUUUUUAAUAAUAACAUCUAUUCCUAAUGUCAUCAGUUUACAAACCUGAUACAUUAUUUUCAUUUAAUCCAUUAAAGUAGACCAGUUCUGUUGCACCUUCAAUUAAAUUAGUACAAGUUUGAAUAAAGGCAAGAUCACAUCCCAGUGACAAGGGAGGUCAGGAGCAGUUCUGCUUGCAGAGAUUUCACUCUCCCCUUACAAGGGAUGAUUCUUUUCUUUGCCUAUCAAGUAAAGGAACUCAGGUUUUUUUUUCCUACAAUGAGACAGGAGGAUUAGUUAGGUCCAUAUGGGAUGGCUGAUACUCCAAUGAAUAAAGGCAUUUGGGCAUAGGUGCCAACUUUUAUUUUUGCUGGGGGGGGGGGCUGCCUAUGAUGAUUGACGUGGAAAGUUUUACGCGUUUCAGGUGGCAGCCCUCUUCCUGAGGGGGGGCCAGGGCCCUCUGCCUCGCACAUACUCAGCGCCUCUGGAUUUGGGGAUACUUUACUUUAGAUCUUCACUUUAGCUCCCAGUCAUUGAGAAGAUAAAGAUCAUCUCUCUUAAAGAGUCUUUCCUUUAAUUUUGAAUGAACAAGGGGAUCUGAGACAAAUCUGUAUCAAGUCUCAAAAACAUUCUAUUCUGGAGAGACUGUUCCUGCCCCUUACAAACACCAGAGGGUCUUUCUCUCCUCCCCAUUUAGGCCUGCUUAUAUAGCUUGUCCUACCAGUAACAUCUCACUGAAGUGCACGAAGAAGUUCUCCCUUCCCUGUCUAAAAAAUGAGGAAUUCUGUGCAGGGAGGUGGCCCACAGGAAUAAAAUUUAGGGCACAUUCUUUGUUCCCAGGCAAUGCAGGGACUUGUAAUAAGACAGUAUGACGGAGUCUGUUUCUUUACCCCCUUCCAUUAAUAGACUUUGGGCAGGUCCAUAAAGGGCAGUUUCCACAUUCCCCCCCUGUUCUUUGGAAACUUUGAAAAACUGGCCAAGAAACUGUCUUCACCUUCCACUGCAGUUGUAUGGCCUUCACCUGUCUAACUUGUGAGAAGACUGAGGAUCUUGUCUGACUCCUUGCUCUCACUUUGAACCUAUAACCUUGCCCUUGUUACUUGUUCCCCAGAGUAAGUCAGGCCCUGACACUGAUCCUCAGCCUGCGGGGCUGGGCCUUCAGGGAUGGAUGGAGCUGGCUCUGUCCAUUAGGAGAGAGAGGUAGGUAGCCUGAAGUCAGGCAGAAGGCAAGGUAGAUUUGCAUCUCAUAAACUAACUCAGAGAUGUACAGUAUAAGCUAGGCAUGUAAAGGAGGUGGCCCAUGGAACAGACAUGGCAUACAGAAGCACAUCAUCCACCCCCAGUACUGCCCCUGGGUCUGGAGUUGAUUCACAAAGCUCACAUGGCAUGCACCAGAUCAGCCCUGCACCACACAGGGUGCCAGUUCUACCUGGCCUGGCACCUGCACUGCAUGUGGGCCUGCCUUAGCCAGUCCAGGCCAUGCAACAUACAUGGCACCUGCUCUGGCCAGUCUGGGACACGCACAGUGCCUACCCCAGCCAGCCUGGGACACACACGGCACACAGCACCCACUCCAGCCAUUCUGGGACCUGCGCUGUAUGCAGCACCCCCUGGCUACUCCAGGGUAGGCACCACAUGCAGCAUGAGCCCCAGACUGGCAGGAGUUCAAUAAGAACAGGUGCAAACUCCUGCACUUAGGACAGAACAAGUCAAUGCACCACUACA